GACGGACGCUGGCGGCGUGCUUAACACAUGCAAGUCGAACGGAAAGGCCCUGCUUUUGUGGGGUGUUCGAGUGGCGAACGGGUGAGUAACACGUGAGUAACCUGCCCUUGACUUUGGGAUAACUUCAGGAAACUGGGGCUAAUACCGGAUAGGAGCUCCUGCUGCAUGGUGGGGGUUGGAAAGUUUCGGCGGUUGGGGAUGGACUCGCGGCUUAUCAGCUUGUUGGUGGGGUAGUGGCUUACCAAGGCUUUGACGGGUAGCCGGCCUGAGAGGGUGACCGGCCACAUUGGGACUGAGAUACGGCCCAGACUCCUACGGGAGGCAGCAGUGGGGAAUAUUGCACAAUGGGCGGAAGCCUGAUGCAGCAACGCCGCGUGCGGGAUGACGGCCUUCGGGUUGUAAACCGCUUUCGCCUGUGACGAAGCGUGAGUGACGGUAAUGGGUAAAGAAGCACCGGCUAACUACGUG
rnacentral:rRNA from 1 species